UACGAGGGGGGCAAGCGUUGUUCGGAAUUAUUGGGCGUAAAGAGCUCGUAGGCGGCCUGUUGCGUCCGCUGUGAAAGCCCGGGGCUUAACCCCGGGUCUGCAGUGGAUACGGGCAGGCUAGAGGUAGGUAGUGGAGAAUGGAAUUCCCGGUGUAGCGGUGAAAUGCGUAGAGAUCGGGAGGAACAUCAGUGGCGAAGGCGGCCAUCUGGGACAACACUGACGCUGAAGCACGAAAGCGUGGGGAGCAAACAGG
rnacentral:rRNA from 1 species